rnacentral:rRNA from 1 species
UACGGAGGGUGCAAGCGUUAUCCGGAUUCACUGGGUUUAAAGGGUGCGUAGGCGGGCAGGUAAGUCCGUGGUGAAAUCUCUGAGCUUAACUCAGAAACUGCCAUGGAUACUAUUUGUCUUGAAUAUUGUGGAGGUAAGCGGAAUAUGUCAUGUAGCGGUGAAAUGCUUAGAUAUGACAUAGAACACAAUUGCGAAGGCAGCUUACUAGGCAGUUAUUUACGCUGAGGCACGAAAGCGUGGGGAUCAAACAGG